rnacentral:misc_RNA from 1 species
AAAGUCGUAACAAGGUUUCCGUAGGUGAACCUGCGGAAGGAUCAUUGGUGGAUGGGCCCUGCGCGGCACUCAACGAACAGGGCGGGCUGGCUGAGUGGUUGGAAUGCAGCAACACAACACAACAAACACAACUUUCAACAACGGAUCUCUUGGCUCUC